AGUGACCCCUAGAUAAGGAGGGCUGUCCAUCUUCAAAUUCUGCAUUAUCCUUGAGGGAACAAAAUAACAUAUCCAAAAAGUCUACCUCAGACAGGAAAGGAAGAACUGUCCCAGAUCAAUCAAUUUAGAAAUGCCAGAAAGAUUGUUAUUGAGUUCUGCACAAAGCUGAAAUAAUGCUGUGUGUUAAAAAAUGUGAAGAAUUUGAAAAAGUUAUAAAAAUUUAUAAGUUGGCUCGACGCUGAGGAAAUUUCUGCAUAUUUUAAUAUAAAUAGAUGCUUGCCAAGCUACAAAGGCAAGAACAGAUGGAAAACAAAUCAUAAUUUGGAGAAGUAAGCUGUGGUUUGUUGAUCAUCCAUUAGACAACUCAUGGUUAACCGCAAACCAUGGCUUAGAAUAAUGUGAGAACCAGGCUAAAGUCUCAGGACUGGCAGAUCAGACAACCUAGAAUCCUAGAACUGUAGAGCUGGAAGGGACCCCAAGGAUCAUGGCAACUUGUGCCAUUAAACAACUGUUUUAUUCUGUUACUAAUACAUAUUCCGUACCUUUUUUUCCUGGCUUCAUAAUUAAGUGUGCACAUUUCCUUCCAACUCAUUUGAUUCUUUUUUCAUUUGUUGGGGUUUUAGUCCUUUGUAAUUUCCUAGUAGUGAGUUAGUGAUUGAGUGGGCUGGUUGUUGGUCUUGUGGCUGGAGAAGUUCAUCACAUUCUUGAAAUGGAAAAAAAAAGUUCUGUUAACAGUAACAUAAAAGAGAACUUCUCUCCAGCAGUGAAAAAGGAGAAGGAAACAGUUACUAGGACUAGAGUGAUUUUUUUUCUUCUAAA